rnacentral:rRNA from 1 species
GUAGAUCUCCGCCAGCUUCUUCCUUCCCCUUUGUCCGCCCCGACUUCCCUGAUCUCGCCGUCCUCCUCUUUCAGAUCCUCCCCCUCCCCAUCCACGACCGCGCGACCUCCCCAUCCAUGGCCAUCUGCCCCUAUGCAUCCCGCAACCGCCGCGGCGACAUCCUCGUCCCCAGAGGCGGGGACUUCCCUUAAGGCGAACCUAGUGCACGUGGCGCCGGUACCGUUGAUGCGGGUCGGGCGGCGGUCAGAUCUGCCACGGCCAGAACCGGCGUCCUCUUCCUCCCUAUCCAGCUUCCUCCCAUGGCUGAGAAGAGGGCUUCGUCAAGGAUCCCAUGACGGAGGUCAACGUGGGAGGCUGCUUCCUCCGAUCCCAGAUCGACCAUCCGUCGAUGGAGGCCAUGAGAGCCACGUGGGCACACACAUGGCUGCGCUUCAAGCUGCAGCUCGAUAGAUGCAGGGACGCCGCCAUGGAACAGUCAGGGCCUCCCUUCUCUUCCCGUUUAGUCCGAUCCGCCACUGCCAGCCAUUUCCGGCGCCCUUGCACCAAAGCGGUGAAGGGCACAAUGAUGAAUUCAACGCAAGAUCCUACUGGUGAUCCAACAGAUGGGAGCCCAACAGACGCAAACACAUCAGAUGCCUAAGAAAAGGACUGGCAAAUAAAAUAGGAAUCCAAACUUGCAAAAUUCUCUUUUACAGAACGCUAGUACUACUGGGACUCUAUGUACAAGGCACAAUGUAAUUGCUCCAAAUACGCUCAUACAAGUUGCAACAAUGAAUACUCGAAUGUUUCGAGCAAUGGGAAGUUGUUUGGCCCCGUUUGCUUGCAAGAUGUGACGCUCAUGGCAGCCACGCCCCCACAACCAAGAAUUGACUUGUAUAUCCAGUGCGUGCUAUAGAAAAAAUCUCAAGAUGGAAGAUCAUCGAAGGCACUCAAUAUUUAUAUUCUACGACUGAUGCAGAAGUGGUCAGUGCAAUCCAUCUAUCCUUGAUAACAGCGUACAAGGCUCCAACCCUCAUCUGCCAACUUUAAAUAUGUGUUUUACAUCUAUUUUAAUGACUCAUUGGAACAUAAAACUCUAUAAUAUCAAAGUUAGUAUUCAUAUGAUUUUCGCAUUGUUUUUGAGUAUCUCGGAAGCUCUGACUCAUGUCAUUCCAUCAUUUCUUUAUUCACUACUACAUUGAUCCUUCUACAUCAAGUUCAUCUUUGUCUUAGUUGAUAGCAUCAAUGCUAUAACUUACAAACAUGUCAAUCUCCCUCGGACCAACAAAUUUCCUUCCCUGGUAGAUGGCUAGACCGUUGUCGAUGACUCCAAGGGAUGACUCUAUCACCAAGGUGCAAACCUAGGGUUUAAUUCCAACAAAAAUAGGAACACGCAUUUUAUCAUUGAUUCUAGCACACCCCCUCUAACUUCAUUUCAAGACUAUGAAUCACACAAAUAUGUGAAAAUGGUAGGUGAUGUCUCUUGGCCAAAAAUCAUGUCUUUCGAGCAUCACCCAAGUUUUUUUUCGAUAUCAUCACCCUAGGAUUUUUUAGAUGAUGAACUCAGAAAUAUGGAAAACAUUCGGAUGAAUGAAUGGGACAUAACCCAUAUCAUAUGAGACAACUAAGAUCUUCUCAAAAAUACUCACUCCAUUGUCGUUUCCAUUUCCACCUUGCAAAUUUAAACUAGAUAAAAAUCCUAUGCUUAUUCUACCCUCCGCCGCAUUCCAUCCCUGUCGUAUGGCCCAAUCUUGCAUUGGGACAACACAACAUAAGUCAUACCGGCCGCAUCGGGGACCCGAGCGCCAUCCAAAGCCGGUGGAUGACCCAACGUACAUAGCUAAUUGUUACCGAAAAAGUAAUGAAACCACUUCAUCGUAUGCGUAUAUUUAUGGAAUUUCCCAGAACAUUCUACAGGAUAGUAGCAAGGAAUACACACUAGUUUAAAACAUGAUUACACCCCUUUCAUGAAAAUUGGAUAGAAAUCUAUAACAAACAAUAGUUAAAUACUUGUAAUACUCAUGUGAAACCACGCUUGCUUGACAAACCUACAUGUCUCUGCUUUGUAACUAUACAUAGACAUUUUAUAAGGCAACAACAAUGAAUUAUCCAUACACUAGUAUAACUUGAGUUGCUUACCGAAUUUAAUUGUAUUUCCUAUCAUAUGACAUCUUAAAUGUUGCUACGAAUUUGGUGAUUGAGAUGAUGAGGCAAAUAUGUUGCCUGGUGUAAUAACACAAGAGAGCUACUUCAGUUUGAUGCUUCUUUAGUAAUUUAUUAGCAUGAUUCACUAAUCAUGGUUGUAUAGCCAACAUUUUCCAACUUGAAGUGUUGCCAAUUAACUGACAACCGCACAUUUGUUUCAUACAUCAGGACUAUAUGAGCUGAAUUACUUUUAUAUAUUUCAGGUUUUAAGGUCUUUGGGCUCCAACGUAACAUCUUUAUAGGAACAUAUCUUCCAUUAUUGGACCCAAAAACUUUUGUUGAGGUUGUUGGGAUUGGUAAAGGGAAGCAUAAUUUAAUUAGAUUUUGUUCAAGACUCAUGCAAAACAAACAAAGGUCUAUUAGUUUCAGCCAACAUGACAAAAGGCAUAAAUUGUUCCAUGCUUGCUAGAAAAGAUGUAACCAACGCCUUAGCAGGUGAUUUCAGGAGAACUAAGGCGAAGUUAAAUGAUCAAUUUUGGGAAGCUGUUUGGCCCUAUUUUCUUGCAAGAGGGUGGCACUCAAAGCAUCCAAAAGACGUCCAGCAUCCAAGAAAUACCUUGUAUAUAUAGUGCAUCCUAAGAAAAAUUCUCAAGAAGGAAGCUCGCUAAAGUCACUCACUAUUAUGAUUCUAUCACUGUGAAGUGGCCAGUGCAUUCUAUCUAUUCUUAGUAACAACUGACUAGCUUCCACCCUCUCACUUGCAAACUUGUAAACCCCCCUCUCACUUCAUUUCAAGAGUGUGGAUCACACAAAAAUGUG